rfam:Phaeobacter gallaeciensis strain JL2886, complete genome.
AUCCCGCGCAUAUCCGGGUCAUGAUAUGCACCUCCCUGUUGGACUGGGCCGGGCCUUGCGCCCGGCCUUUUUU